UAUACAGAUGAAAGGCAGGAUAGAGAUGUGCUUGUGGCUGCCCAUGAUCUCUGGUCACUCACAUCCAUCCCCAGGGCAGUUGUGCUCCCAAGAGCCCCUGCCGUGGGGGGUGGCUGGUGCAUAAGAGCAGAGCCCAGCCCUGGCCAGUGGAUCUCCCCCAGUCACUGUCUAGAAGGUCUGGCAGUGUCCACCGGGCAUGUUUUGGUGCUGCUAGAGAUCAGCCGUGCUAUUGAACGAGUCUUCCUUGAUUUGCUGUGAUAAUGGCUUUAGGAUGGUGGUGUGAUGGAUGUGCUCCUCCUGUUCGACCAAAAUGAACUUUGAUGGAGGCAGAUGCUCAGCAAGCAGGCCUAUUGUGUGAAGUUAUCAGUGAGAUCUCAGCACUAACCUCCCCCCUCUCACCCCCCAAAAUGGUUUGGCUGGAGACUGAGCUGAUAAGUGGCUGAAACUGCCUGAAUGCAGUAGAAGACCUCACUACAAAUCAAUCACUUAAUGCUAUAGAUAUCUGUAGCCAUCAGGGCCCAUAGAGCUCUCCCUCCAUAGCAGCUGGACAACGCAGAGCACAAAAAAAAGCCCAAAUCCACCUGUAUAUCCCAUUCCCACCUAGAAGUCUCCCAGGCAUGCUUUUGUACUGCUGCAUCUAUAAUGUGGCUGUAUCUAGACUUCUAGGAACAGAGCAAACCCGGUAUCAUUCAACUGAAUAGACUUUGAGUCCCUCAGUCCUUUUGGUGGUUUUGAAGACUUCUGCCUAUAUGGUCAGUUGAAAGAAGUGCUGCUAUGCUGGGACUUAAAAAUGACAUCUAAGGGAUAGUCGUGAGGCAUCUAGAGAGGAAACCAAGACUUUAAAUAGCUGCAAAGAUAACCAAGGACCGGGAGCUGAGCCCUGUUACCUGUACAUAUAGGUCAGCAUUGAAUUAGACAGAGGCUUGGCUGUUUGCAGAGAGCUGAUCAUACUAGCUGAAUAUUUGGCCUGCUACAUCAUCUCUUCCAGAGUGGAGAAAAACAGCUGAACAAAUGGAGACAUGUAGGUGAUCUGCAGUUCAGGGACUUGCUUUCUAUCUUGUAGGUUUUGGCAUUUUUUAGUUUUAUUUUUUUACUGCUGUGCUCUGAAGGGGGUUGGAUGGUUGACUCUCCCCAGCCGGCUGGCCUUGGCAAGAAGGCUUCAGCUUCUCAGUACUGAAUAAGAUAACUGCAAGCACGAGUGUUUCAGCCAGCUUGGACACAGAGCUGAUUUAUUACUUAAUAGAGCCAUUGAGGAGCUGGAAAUUGGAUGUGAUUUGUACUCAGGGCCAGCACUGGCAUGCUGGGAUGAAUUCUGUUCAAGGCGUCACCUGUGACUGCAGCCUUCCCUCUCCUUUUCUUCCAGAGCAAUAAUACCAAAGAGUUUUACAGUGACCUCCUGCCCCCCAUGGUGGGCCCCGGGACAGUGGGAUCCCCACUGCUGUUUCCCCCUCACCCCCCUUUUCCUUCUCCUUGCCCACACAGGAUUAGCCAGCCCCGAGGUAACCUCUUCAUCCCUAUUGAACUCUGAGAGAUCCUGCAUUGGCUGCUUUUGGGCAAAACCAGCUCUUUGCUGAUUCACAAAACUGAGUGGGGCAGGGAGGGAAGAAAAAAACCUAAAGAGAAUAAUUGACUGAUUCCCGGCAUCCUCUAUGGCUGCUCUUAAGCUAUUACGGGGACUCUGCAACAUCCGUAUCACAGCACGUUCUCGAAGAUUAUCCGUCUGCUCAGCUGGCAAUUAGAGCUGGUUAAAUGGGAAGCUGCCACUUAGCUUUGACUUUGUAGCGGCUGUUUUCACUUCUCCAAGUCAGGCUCCAGGCACUGAAGUAAAGGGUGUGAAUAACUGGGAGGGGGAUUAAGUGUCAGCUGCCUUUACUGUGCUGUGAAAAAAACUUGUGGACAGGGUGACUGGAAGGGAAUUAAAGCUAUGCUCUGUUUUCUUUGUUAGGCCCCUCUCCAUCGUGUUUUUUCUGUCAACUGGAAAGUAUAGGCUGCUCCCCCGGCUCAUGCUUCCUCCUGCUCUUUCUCUCCACCUUUGCUAGUGACCUUGGAAAAUGACUUAGCUUGCUGAUGCCAUCUGUGAAAACACCAGUGCUGUGUGCUUAUGUGUUAGCCUUAUUUGCACAAGAAAAAUGCUGAGCUGAGUGGCACAGGUUAAUUUCCCUGCCUAGGCCGUGUGCCUCCUGCAAGAUCCUCCUCGGGUCAGUAGAGUGCACUUCAUGGUUUCUUUGCUACUGCAGAGUAUUACAAUGUUCCUGUCUCUUGUGGUGUGGUACAUCAGAGGACCUGAAUGAUAAAAAAUCCUUUAGCCUCAACAGCUUCAGUGACCACUGGUGUACUACUUCAAUGCUUCAUGUAGACCAACUGGCCCAGCUGAGACCAUGGCAAGCCCUCAUCUCUGGCCUUCCCAGAGCUCUGUGGGGUUUAGUAUUGCACUAAGGCUCCUUUGAUGGGGUUUAGGGUCUUGGGUGAUGACAAUGUAAGGAAAAGACUGGAGUACAGAGGCCAAGACAAGUCCCUGCUGAUCCACUUCAGCCCUGUUUGCACCCCACAGACAUGCAGAGGCUUGGUAUGGUCCAAGUUGGAGAGUCUGUGCUGCAAGCAUGGUGCUUUGCAGAUUGAAUAGCCACCCUCGUCCUAUAGAGCAGGUCCCCUUCUCAUGGGGAAAGCUAGGCAGCCACCUGCUUUUCCUUGGCUAAAAGCCAUACUGGCGUGAAGGGCUCUGGCAGCUGCUAACCAUGGCUGGGUGCUGGCCACCAAUACGCUCAGCAGCGAAGGAGCCACAGCAGGAGCUGGUGCUACGUGGUGCCUCUCUCCUGUGGGCUCAGCAGGAAACUCGCACUUUGGAAUUAGCUUCAGUUUUUUUCUUGCCAAUUUAUCUUUUGAGCUUUCUAGGCCAGCUGUCCUCCUUUAUUAUCCUCACACUACCUAUUUAUCUCAUCUACCCCCUCUUCUUCCCGCUUUCUUCCCUCUGGUUGCCUGUCCGUUGCUGAGCUCUUGCCCGCCAGCGAAAACAAGCCACAGCAGCGGAGCAUGACAGACCCAACUGAAGAUACAUCGGGCUCGACAGCCGAGGCCAAGUCAGCAAAGCCGGUCCCUGCUCACUGUCCCCCGGCAUCCAGCCCACGCGUGGGAGGAAACUACUGAGGUGUCCUGCCACCACCUCAAUUGCAUCUGCCAUCCUGCCUGCACUCUUUCUGCUCUGCGAGGACAAGCAAGCUGCCCAAAGGCUGCAGCAGCUCUAUCCCACGGCAAAGCUCUCAUCUGAAAUCAGAGAUGCUGAUCAGAAUUAGUCUGGUGCUUCAGAGACCUGCUUUGAGAGAGGGAACCAACCCUUCACCAGUCACAGCUGUAUGACACAGAUGUUCUGAGGCCUGGCGUUUUCCAGAGACAUGUUGUGCCGGUUUUAGAGCUGUGCUUUUGGGAGGCUUCAGGCUUCAUGUGUAUUGAGUGCCAAGAGAAACUUUUAGCACAUGCAGUAUGCCUGGGGAGGGCCAGAGGACUGACUCAGGUAAGACUUUAUAGUACAGCUGAUUUAUAAGCUCCAGCCCUCUGAGAAAAGGCUGUGCAAAGCUGUAACUAUGCCUCCAUAUGUGCAGAACAUCAUCAGCCCCUCUGGCAAGGGGAGCAGGAAUGGUACUGAGAUUGAACUGAACUUUGCCAGUGACAUUCCCUCCUCCUUCAUCCAAUUUGUCAAGAAUCUCCUGACGAAGAUUUGGGGUAAAGACAAGAAAGAGUACGUAGUCUUCACCUUCUUCAUGGAAUGGACAGAAAAUCAACAUACCUGAAGCGCAAGCAAGACUAUACGUAUAGCAGAGAACUUCUUUACAGUGACAGUGGUCAAACAUGGUUCUGUGGAAGUCAUUAUCAGCAAGUCCUCAGCUGCAUUUCCCAGUGGAUCUCAGCCACGUGUGUGGGGCUGCUGCUGCCCCCAGAAAGUUGAAACAAAGCAAACAAAAUGCAGACCACCCUUCUGCCUAUCUGACUCUGGCUCUUGCUUCAAUAACAUUUUGUACCAUCAGUUAAUUCCACCUAAGUCUGGAAUUAUAUAUUUAUAAACAUCAUGAAACUGAAGAGUCAGGGAUGAGAAUUUAUCAGUAGUCUUGUUGGCCUAACUGUGAACUCAGACUUAAAUCAGACCUCAAAGUUUUUCAUCCCAAAGAUGACUCCACAGGGAUCCAAGCUUGCCUUGCAAAGCAGUUCACUGACUUCUUGAGUCUAUCCGGAAUUUCACUGGAACAGAUCCAUGGGUGUUCAAUGUAAAACCCAUUGCUUUUUCAGCUCAUGUGAAAGUUUUCACAGAAAACAUGGCUAGUCCAAACAGCCACUUCAGAUUUAAUACAUGAGUGAUGACUUGAAUAAAAAAACAACUACAGCAGCACAGUGCCAGCCAGCACCAGGAAGCCUGUUAAAGAGAGCCCCCAACCCUGCUCUGGCUGUGAGUGAGAGACUGGGCUCUACACACCCUGCCUGGAGGGGGCUUUUGAAGCUAGUGAGCCCUGUGUAAGGGUCCGCAGCCUCAUGUAUCAUCCAAAGAGUCAUUCUGCUCUGCAAAGCAGGCAGCAGCUCCUGUGUGGGCUAUACCUCAGCAAUCAUUAAUUCUUCCUGGUUUAUAAAUAAGAUGCUUUUCCUUGACUGCCAGGUCCCAGUGACAUCUACAAGGCAAACUGUGAUCUCUAUGGCCUGUGAAUCAUCACUGAUAAUGGUGAUCCUGCUGCCUGACUCCUGCUUUUGCCAGCUGUACAGCACCUGAAUUUGUUGAUGAGCUGAGAGAGAGCUCCCUGGCACUAUGGUGAGGGAAAUGGCCUCUCCCUUCUGGAGCACCGCUCAGGCAGAGAUCACCUGUGAGGAAUGUUAUUAUGGACAGAAAUGUGGUGCAGCUCACCUUCACUGUUCCCGAUACCUCCCUGACCCAGCCUGGGGAAGGUUCUCCCUCUCCCUUCCCUGCUUUCUCCUGGCACUGGAGAAAGUGCCAGAUUAAGUCUGGAUCUUCCGUUUGCUGCCUGGCCCAUGUACAAUGGUCUACAGCAAAAAGGAGGUCUCCUCCUGUUCCUUCCUCUGGUGCAUUGGUGCCUCAGCCUCCAUCCCUUGGAUGUUUCCCUGUUCCAUUCAGAACUCUGCUGUUGGUCUCUGAUGGAUGCGGCUGGUGGCUGGCCGAAGCUCUCUGAUAGAAGGCUUGGUUGGUGAAGGACACUUCCUGGAGAGGAGCAGCAGCAGAUCUCCAUUAUGGCAAGGAGCACAGCAAGUACCUACCAUUUUCAAGAUUCUGACUUGUAAACUUGUGGGUAGGGGUUUCUGCUUUGCUGGCCUAGUGAAUAUGUGAUGCCAUAUACAUUCUUUGAGGCUACUGAGAGUUUCUGUGAUGAAAAUGGUAGAAGAGCAUUGGCCCAGUUCUGCAUUAAAAUUGAUUUCAGAUCUACCUGAACAUGCUCCAACUGUCAAUAUGGGUAAAAGACUUCUCCCUUUAUGAUGGACACAGCUGAAAUCAUGGGUGCCAGCAGCACCAUGAUCUUGAAAAAUAAAUUGCAGUGUGAAUACCUGAAUUGCUGCCGUGGGCUUUUCUUUGACCAUACAUGAUGUAUUUCUCUAGGAAGAGUGGUGUAUGCAAGGAAACCAGUACUCCACUCCCAGAUGGGAAGUUUUGCCUUCAGCUCUGCUCUGAUUCAGGUAGUGUUUUACCCUGAGGAGAUGAAAAUACCAAGAGAAGCAGAAUAAUGUGAGAGAGACAUCUGUGUUUUACCUUGCAUUUGGAAAGGGGAGGUGUCAGAAAAGAUUGCCUUGGGAAGUUUGUCAAGGUCAGUAACUUUCGUAAGAGACACAAUUCUGCCCAAUGGCAGCCUGGAAAUGGCUCAACAUUUCCCUACAGCCCAUUUUGCUCACACAUGUAACAGAAGCUGUUGCAAAGCUGGCUUUCUAUGUUACUGCUAUAUGAGGGACUCGGGUCUUUCACGCUGCAGAGUGAUGAAGGGCAGGAGGCUUAUAACAACAGAAUAAUAUCUCAGCAGCUGUGAAACACCUUAUUUUUCAAUGGAGUCUGUGACUGGGCUUGAAAGUACAUACUGACACCUAUGUGUGCCAUCUCUUGGCUGCAAUGGCUGCUUUCUCUUGGAGCCCUACAGACCUGUCAUGGCAUAUGCAUCAUUCAGAAACCUCACCCAGGAGCACCCACCAUACGCCUUGUGGAUUUCACACCACAUGCAACUUCUGUGGAUAAGAUGGGUCUGUGCCUUCUGCCCGGCUUCUCUACAGCUGACUGGUGCCUCUUGGAUCUGCCAACCAUUCCAUUCCAGUCCAGCAAACGGCAAUCUGAUCGCAGGAGAGGUGCAGCUGGGGUAGAAGCCUUCUCUCAUAGAUGACUUGUGGUUCUGCCAUCUGAGUUCAAAAUUGUAUUCCUUGACAUGUGAUGUCCCGUGCCUCAGUUCAGAAGGCAGUCAAGAGGCCUGAGUUCUCUCAUAUAAAUGGCUCAGCUUGCAGCACAGUGGCUUGAUGUUCUUGAAGCUGCUAAUCCUAAUUAACAGCUUUUCUGAGUCCAUUUUAUACCACUCUAGCAGCCCAAUUGGGCUUUAAAGUGAAUGGAAAUGACCCCAUGGAGAGCUCUCUCUAGAGAUGUUGCUAUGCCGACCUGCUUCCAGCAACUGUUAAGGCUUCAGUUUCUCUCUUCCAUCCUGCCGUGUUGCUGUCCUCAUAUGGGCUCAGAUGGUGCCAGAAGGGUGGCUGCAAUGGAUGAGACCUGGGCUCUAUUAAUUAUUUUUUAAAAAAAUGCUGAGAGAGGAGUAAAAUCACACCAGAUAGCAAUAUAAAGAAGCAGCAACAGCCAGAACAACAACAAUAAACUCCAAACUGAAUGACCUGAGAUUCCUCUGACGGAAAAUUGAGUCAAUUUUCUCUUGCACAACCCUUAAAAAAACCUCAACAACCUGAAUUAUUUUCGUAGGUACGCUUCUGUUUCCUCUAAGUACGUGGGUUUCCUCAUCUACCAUGAUGGGAACCCUGGGAGCCUGGGCAUGUUGUACCCUGACACGUCACAGUGAGUAUCUCCUGCUACUAAUGGGCUGCCAGACGUUGUGCUGUGCUGUGGGGAGGCUAAUGCCAUUUCUCCAAGAGAAAAUGAAGAUAACAAUUUGGUGUGAUGUAGCAGAAACCCUGACACAGGCCUGGGAUAGCAGCUCCCAGCCCAGCCACGCUUGGGCUGUCUCCUCUCUUGCCUUGCGGUGCACAGCUUGAACCAUUUUUGGCCACACUCAUUCUCCUUAAAUUCAAUCUUCCCAAAGCCUAUAAAUCUGGAGCACUAAGAGGAAGACAAAUUAUAAUGAAUUUUAGCAAUAUAAAAAGUAACGACUUAAUAUAACUUUCUCUUCUCCCUCUGCCCCCCUCCCCCCCCCCCCUUCACCACCUCAUGUUUUUAACAUUUGGGAACUGUCAAAGCUUGAAGGGAUGUAAUGUGUGCUGGAGAGAGGAGGGAGGUUUUCCCUUUCUGAGCUGGUGUGAACUGUGCUUGCAGGGAGCUCCUGCCCCCGGACACACAGGCACCCUGCCUUCCUCAGAAACCAGCACUUUCCCUCGCUGUACUUCAAAUAAAAAUAACUGCACCUCCCGUUAGCACUCAAAGGUGGGGAAAGAAAGAGGGGGAAAAAAAAACCCGUUAGAGGUACAUUUUAGUUCAAGCAGCAGCCACAGCUUUGUUUCCACGGAGAUAUGGUGGGGACUGUGGUGGUCCCACGUGCUGCCCCAAGCCAGGUCCAUGUCAGCAAUGUGAGGCUCCCCUGGGUGGCCUGGGAUGGGAUGGAGGGUAGGGCCAUGCAGGAAACAGUGAGACAGCAUUUAGGCGAUGAAAGGGAUAGUGGGAGGCCAAUUAAUUUCUUUAGUACACGAGGCAUGACUAAUGAAUGCUUCUCUGAAGGAGAAAAGGGUAAAGUUUCAUUUAUGUGGCCACGUUAGCCCUGGACUGGAUUUGGCUGCUGCACAGGCACUGCUGGCCCUUGCUCCUCUGUGCAGUUUGGGACAAGAGGCUGGGUUUCGCUAGGGGAAGGCCUUCUUCAGAGCUGGGGUUGUUCUUUGGGUUAUGGUCACCCCCAAAAUCACCACAUUACGAUGGGGAGCAGAGAGGCCAAAAUAAAAUGUUGCCCUCCCCCCGCAAACAACAGUAGCAAACUGAAGGGACCAAGCAAGGGUUUCUUUUGCACUAGAAACAUUGAUUUUAAAUGAUAAAGACUGCUUCUGAGCAGUGUUGAUUUGAA